AGAAAUGCAUCUGAAUGUCAAAUUCAGAAUAGCAGAUAAUUAUUUUAUAGUAGAAGUUUUAUAUUCCUUUUGAGUUUUAAAUUUCUAUGUCCCUUUAGUGUGACCAGCUGACUAUAACUGCCACGUUAGCGCUUGGCCAGAAAGCUGUUAUGUCAAUCAAUCAAACAAAUAAAUGGGUAUAUUAAUUAAUCUUUUUGUUAAAACCAAUUUAAAAGAAUUGUAGCAAAGCAAUUUUGAUUUUCAACAGUCCUACUCACCAUCUACAUUUGGUAAAACUCUUGACAUAAGUCUGGGUUGCUAAGCAAUAAAUACCUCUGCUGUGACUCCUGAGUCCCUGGGAUCAUUCCAUUAUUUUGUCAUUCAAGCAUGUCACACUGCUUGAUGUGGGCCUCCAAUGCCUGCGCAGUCAGAAAUGUGGACCUGCUGUUUCUACAGUAGCAAAAGAAUAAAUAAGAGAAUUGUGGGGCAGAAAGAUGAUUAAAGGACUGAGGAAGUGAAGCUACAUAAGCCUCGGAGUUUAGAGGAUAGACUUUUGAAAGCGCACUGUGACAGUGAACCAUUAGAGAAGUGAAGUGGGUCUGUGGAAUGAAAUGACCAAAACGUGAAGUGACAAGAUCACAUAGCCUGAAAGUAUAAAGCUGGGAUUCUGAUCUACUCCUUCUGACAGCUGGACCAGAGAUGCUCAUAGCACAACACUUUCCAUCAUAGAAUAAUAAGUAUUCAAAUAUUUUUAUUUUUCAGCUAAAGUAACUGAGGCUCAAAGAUGUAAAAUGAUUUACCCCAGGAGGACCUUGGAAUGACACUGGAACCCAUACAUUCUGACUUUUAUCCUGGUACUCUUUCUUCUUACAUCAUCCAGGUUCAGAGCAAAUCCUCAUUCUUCCUCCGUUCUAUUUUGAUGAAUAGACUUUAUCGGAAAGAAGUGAAAGCAUUAGAAUUUCACGAUAGUUUGGUACAAAAAUUUGGACCAGUUUCUUGAAUUGUUCAAGCUUGAGUUCUUUGUGUUUAAUGAAAACCCCCCCAACUUUGUUUAAAGGUAACGCAGAUGUCUACUGGCUUGUCAGUCCCUGAUUACGAGAAAGCAGGAGCUCAGUCUCAAUUUUAAAGUAUUCUUCAGCUACUUUAUGAUAAUCUAAAAGGGCUAGAACUUACGUAUGCAAGGUUAGCUAUUUUGUCAGCUAGAGUCAUUGUAAAUGAAAAUAACCUGUAACAAUAAUGUAUCACAAUGCUUCACACAUAAGUACCCAAUAAAUGAUUAAAAUCAGAAAUAAUUAUUUAUUGAUUACUUAUGUGUGAAGCAUUAUGAUGUAUGCUUGUCACGGGUUAUUUUCAUGAUUAUCCUUUUAACAACCAUAUACCACAGGUACUAUUAGCUCCCUCAUUUGACAGGUGAGGAACCUGAAGCACAGUGCAGCUCAAGAUUCCAUAGCCAUUAAGUAGCAAAGCCAAGUUUGGAAUCCUGACAGGCUGACUCCAGAGCUGGUGCUCUUACUGGUGAAGCUCCACAGCAAGCCUGCUAUUCCCCUGCUGUUCCAUGUGCCAUAUGUUCCCACUUGUGGCAAAUUGAGUCACUUGAAAUGGCUUUUGCACUUACUAUUCAGGUAUACAGUCUUCAAGUAUUUGUCAUGUUUCUGAUUCUUAGCCAUACGUGAUUAUAGUCCAUGAUUGGAAGCCUCUUCUCUAGCUCAUGCUGCAUUUAGUAAUACGAGCCUUUAAAAUACCUGUGUACAUGUGUAUUUUUAUAAAAUGAACACUUUAAACAUCUUAUCACCCCUUAUUUCUUAUUCAUAGAAACUCAAACCCAGUCCAAGAGGCCAUAGUGUAACCAAAUGCAAGUCAGGCUGCUUACUGCUUGGAAAUCAAAACACAACACAUGAGAUUUGGUGAAAAGAAAUCAGCUUUAUUAAUCAAAUGCUAGUAGUUGAGAGGUGGCCGGGCUCAAUCCUCAAAGAAACCAUCUCCAGUUUUGAGCUGAAGGCUGGGAUUUAAAAAGGGGAAACUCAGUAUAGGAAAUAUGUAGGAGUGAUACACAGUGCAGGUCUGUAUGUCUUGCUCUGAUCACCAUCUUGGGUUAUUGUCCACCUGGUGUGCUGGCUGGUGCUAUGUCAAUUGUAGCCAGGCUGUAGAUUAUCCAUAGUGAGGUAAAUUCUAGGUGAAGGAGAACUUAUAGCUGGGUUUCUACACCCACCAGGUGUGUUUAAAACUAGCCCCUGAAAUUUCUUAACAAGCAUGCAGUUAGAUGAGUGUGCAUGGUGCAAAGAGGUGUUUGGUAGGAAAGGGAAGAGACAGAGUUUCAAAUAUGUUUUAAGGCUAUCUAUAUUGUAAGGAUAAGGGAAAACAAGGUUUUUACAGUUUGUUUCAAAGUUGCAUCUUAAGGCUAAAGAGAAAGGAGAAUAAUGCAUUUAAAAAUAUAUUUCAAUGCUAAAAUACUCAGAUACAUGUCCAGUCUACUGUUGAGCUGAUUGAGAGCAUUAUUUAUUCCUGUUAUUGUGUUUCGAUUUCUGCAUUUCCUUUUGAUUCUAAGAGUCUUUAUCUCUCUACUUUCAUUAUUCAUAUUUUUCUUCAUAUUAUCUACCUUUUUCUAUUACAAAAAGCAUAUCAAUUAUCAAUUAGCAUAUACAUUAUUUUAAGUUCUCUGGUUAUUUCAGCAUCUGUUUCAUAUACUCUAGUUUUGAUAACUGUGCUUUAUCUUUAGAGAAUUUUAUCUAGCCUUUUGUCAUGUCUUGUACUUUUUUGUUGAAAGCUGAACAGAUUGUUUAGGGUAAUAGGAAAUGGGGUACUAGGCGUGUAGUAUGAAGAUGUCUAUUAAUCUGGCUAGGAGUUAGGCUGUGUUUAAUGUUUGAUGUAGUUAUAGGUAUCGCAGGCUUCCAGUUCCUCUAUUGUCUUUGUUUUUCUCUUUCCUCUUGAUUUUGGGCUUCCCUGAGUACUACUCAGGAAGAGUCUAUGUCUUGCAACUCCUUCAGCUGUAAUACAGUUGUUAUAUUGAAGCCCUGUUUGUGCAGUGGUAAGGUAGGGGAGAAAGCUGCUGUUCUAUAACCUUCUGAUUAAAUUGUAGUCUUUCAGUGGGUUGUUGUCUUGGAACUGUGACUUUUCAAAUCCAGUUAUGUAGCUUUUGACCAUUCACCACUUUCCUCAACCCUUCCCUCAACCUUCCCUGGCUACAGUGUUCUCAGUCUGGUUUCUUAAAGCUUUGGCUCCUGAUGACUAUGUUUCCCACUCCUCGCCUCCACCACCCUCCAGCCCCCUUAGGCUUAGGUGACAUAGGAAGGCUUGAGGAUGAUCCAGAUGGGAGAAACUUUCUGUGCCUGCUGAGGUAAAGUUUCAAAAUUGAGUUUUGGCAAAGUCCCUUACUAUGAAGAGUAGACAUUUAUUGUACAGAGGGUGUAGGCCUAUUUAAAAAUGAUUAUUUUUCCAAAACCAAGGGAUUUUUCUCAUCUCCUAACUGCGGGACACUGGUAGAAUUCCUAGUGGGAAAUUCCACAAAAGUGUGGUGAGUUCUCCUAAAAUGUUAGCCCUAGGAGUUUUUUAUUCUCAAGUUAAUCCACACGUUGCCUCCAGCAAUUCAUUAACAUUACAUUUCAGUGUUUCUGCCAGUUUAUACCUUCAUUAAUUUCUACUCCAGUUCUCGAUUGUUGUAUCUCACUAAACAUUCCCAAGUCUCCAAGUUUCAAGUUGCCAAUAUGACCUGUGACCAUAGUUCUCUGAUGAGACCAGUUCAGCUUUUUCUUGUAAGGAUAAGAGUGUCAGCUUCCAAAAUGUUUAGUGUCAGAGCUCUAAGAUGUAUAUGUUUCAUUUAACAAUAUAUCUUGAAGUCUAUCAUGUCACCAUGUAAUCUCCUACAACAUAUUUAAUGCUUAUGUGACACUGUACAAAUUUACAUUGUUGAUAAACCAUUUAACCAUCUUUGGGGAUUUUUCAUUACUACAAAUAGCCUCAUGAUAAACAUCUUUGAAGCUAAGCAAAUACGUUUACCAAUUCAUGAUUAUUUCCUCAUGAUACAUUAUUAUACAUAAAAUGUGUAGGUCAGAAAGUCUUUAUAUUUUUAAAUCUAGUAUUGAAUAUUGAUAAAUUACUCACCAGAAGGAUUUACUAGUUUGUGCUCCUUCUAGUCAUUGAGAGGCCCUGAUUUUCAGCACUCUUUCUAGCAUUGAAUGUUUUACGUUUAUAGAUUCCCAUUUUAUGUUUUUGCUUUGAAUUGCAUUUUUCUGAUUGCCAAUAAACUUGAGUAUUUCAAAAUACAUUUUUUUUUUUUUUUUGAGACAGAGUUUCCCUCUUGUUACCCAGGCUGGAGUGCAAUGGUGUGAUCUCAGCUCACUGCAACCUCGGCCUCCUGGGUUCAGGCAAUUCUCCUCCCUCAGCCUCCCGAGUAGCUGGGAUUACAGGCAUGCGCCACCAUGCCCAGCUAAUUUUUUGUAUUUUUGGUAGAGACAGGGUUUCACCAUGUUGACCAGAAUGGUCUCGAUCUCUUGACCUCAUGAUCCACCCGCCUCGGCCUCCCAAAGUGCUGGGAUUACAGGUGUCAGCCACCGCGCCUGGCCUCAAAAUACAUUUUAAUAUAUUUUCUACUUUUUAAAAUUUGAAAUUCCUGUUGAUUUAAUUGUUCAUUUACAUAAUUUGCUCUUUUUGGCUUUUCAAAUUUCAAAUAUUUAAUCAAUUCUUUUGUUCCCUUUUCCAUGUUCUUUUCUGUUUGCCUCAAAUAGCUAAACAUACUCUUUCAAUUAUGAUGACAUUAAAACAGUACAGUGAAUUAAAGCUGAGUGGAAUUUCAGAAUAUUCUUCCUGGAACAUGAAGAGUACCUAUCUUAGGCUAGCAAAGAAUAUACUACAGACUCAACUAAGCCUUAGCCGAGAAUAGCUAUUCCUACCCUAAACCUGAAAGUUUCCUUGUAUUUUCUCAUUAUAUCCGCAUAAUGUAUAAACCAUUAUUCUCCCACACUACAUAGCAUAACUUUUAUCAAAGGGCCUCUAGUUUUCAAUUUUGAAAAUAUAGGCUCUCUAACAAAUAUAUGUAGCAUUUACUGUGUUGAAUUUAUGUAAGCAUAAGGCCUUAUACUAGUGCAGUAAAAAUACUGUUGAACUCCAACAAGAUAAGGUGAAAUGUGGUAGCAAGUAAAUUGCUUAGGUGGUAAACAUUAAACUUACAUGUCAUGCUCUGCUAUUUUGUGAACAGAUACUUUAAUCUGAAAUAAAGUUUUAAGUCUUGCUAUGUCAUUAAUAUGAAUCAACUAUAGCAGUAUAUACUGGUAGCUGGCCAUCAGGAAUGGUAAUGUGUUUUGUAUCAUGUCUUGUCAUGAAUGAUACAGGAAAUUUUCUUUUUUAAUUUAAUUACUAACAUCAGGCCUAUUGUUCUAAAUAUGAGAUUUUUAUUAUCAGUGAAGAUGUGAAUGAGAGAAAGCAAAGAUCAGAGGGUGAACUUCCAAACUUAAGCAUAGGCUGACAGCUCUGUUUCAGCAACACCUGCCACAAGCAAUGAACAUUGUCCUAUUCAUAUGAUGGCCACCUCGGCGGUGCCAUCUCAGAUGAAGUCAGCCAUCCCCCGUACAGUUACAUGGAAUUUACAUCGCCUGAGGACAGAUAAUGCCAGAUUUAUUUCUACAACUCCAGACCCUGAUUAGUGUCUGGCAAAUAAUAAGAAACCCAAUAAGUGGCUAGUAUUGCUGCUUUCUGUUGGUGUUUUGACUUAUUUUAUUUUAUUUUUUAUGCUGGUUUCAGAAUUACUAACUAAAUAGUGAGAUUUAAAAGUUGUGCUAGGAAAGGAAAGUCAAUAGUGAUUACAGGGUCAACUUUAUAGGAACAAUGGAAACAAAAAUGUAAUGAGAAAUGCAGAACAUUUUAACCCACACACAAUUCUACAAAUUAAAACACACAGUAAAAAUUUAAUUGACAACAGGAGAGAGAAUUCAGAAACAUGGCAGAAUAGGAGGCUCUGAUCAUUUCUUUUCCCCCAGCCACAUCAAGUAAACACCUACACAUGGAUCAGUUCUCUCAAAGAGAAAGCCAGAAUGCAGUUGAAAGACUCCUACACACAGAAGGCCUGAGAAAAUAUUCAUAUCAAAAUGAGCAGAAAAAGUGAAGAAACACUCGUGCAUGAAACUCCACCCUGAGCACAGCACCUUAUAAUUGGGAAGGAAACCCCAACCCUCACCUUUCUAUUGAAGGGUGAAGAAACAUGUAAUGUAGUACCCAGCUUUUAAAGUCUCUGCCAAAGGGAUUGGGUCUUAAAUCAUUAUUCUUGAGGAAAGGCAAGAAAAUGACAUUGAAGGAUUUCCUUCAAUCACAAAGGACAAAGGGGUUUUGAACCCUAUGAGCACUCCCAGCUGCUGCAGACCUUGGGAUCAGCCUAGCUUCCACUUUUCUCCUGAAAAGGGUUUGACAGCAUGCUUUCCUAUCAGCUUCCUGUCAUUCUUGCCUCCAAUAAGCCCUAUCUAGUAGCUUACCUAGCAAAUAAAGAAUAAAGCCCUUUGAGCACAAAUGGGAGGGAUGCUACUCCUCACACUUUCUUCCCUGCCUUGCUCCAGUGAUAAUUCCAGCUCUAGAAACUUUCCAGGAAAAGUGAAUGGAGGUAUCAAACAGCAAGAAUAGGAGGAAGGACAUCUCUGCAUCCUUUCCUCUGGCUUCCACCUUAAAUAAAUUCUUGAGAUAAAGUUCUUCAAUUUCUCAUUAGAGAGGCUAGGGAAUCUACAUGUGCCUGAAAAAGAAAGGAAACGCAUCUUAUGCCUUUUCUCCUGGCUUCAGUGAUAACUCCAGACCAGGAGUAUCCUCCGGCUAGGAGGGUGUGAGGCUUCUAAUUGCUUGAACUGGAGAGUGGGCACUCCCAGCACUUUUUCCCAGGCUUGUUCCAAAAAUACAUCCAAAUCUGAAGACCCUCCAUGGCAGUAGUUUCUGCAUGAGUCCAGUGCCCCAACUUUUACAGCAUUCAUCCAAAGGACUGGCUCUUAAGUCACCUGGCUCUGGGAUUUGACAGAGCUCUGCAUGCCUGAGUCUCCUAGACCACAGAUAACACAAUGGUGACAUAUAAACUUUCAAAAACUAAGCAGCUGUCUUCCCAGGUUGAACAUAAGCACUCUGAUAAAAAGUAUAGACAUCUGCUUCAGAUUCUCUUCUUAGUGUAGGGCAGAAUAAGUAGAAGAUAUACUCUGGCUCUCAGCUUCUUUGCAAAGAGAGAAGAAAAGGGAACACACAUCCAAUACCCCAACAUCUGCAGCUGCAUUCCAAGAUACUGGCUUAUCACACUACUCUCGAGGUAAUAGCACAACUUUUCACUCUCUAAUUUCUUGGAUGUCACCAAGAAAAAAGGAAUCAGGUCGGACAAGCAAAGAGAGUUGAAAGACACUUAGAAUGUCUCGCUGAGGUGAUUAGGGAGGAAAAUCUACGGAAGCACAGUCUAACAAAUUUGGAAGAGGUGGUUCUUGUAUAUAAUGCACAGAAACCAACAUAGAGAGUCAAGGAAAGUGAAACAGAGAAAUGUGUCCCAUAUAAAAGAACAAGAUAACUCUCUGGAAUUCAAAGCUAAUAAAAUGAAUAAGUGAUUCAUCUCACAGAAAAUUCAAAAGAACAGUGAUGCUUAUCAAUGAAAGAAGAGCAAUAUAUAAACAAACCAAGAAUUUUAUACUUUUUAUAAUUAACUGUUUGAGUGAGGGUUCUUAAGUUAGACCACCCAGAUUGCCCUCUGUGGUGAGAACACAGUUUGGUUUUAUAUUGUCUAGGGAGACAUGAGACAUCAGUCAUCAUAUGCCAGGUGAACAUUGGUUUGGUCUAGAAAGGUGGGACAACUCAAAGCAAAGGUGGGAAGACUCAAAGUUGGGAGAGGGCUUCCAGGUCAUAGGUAGCUAAGAGACCAAUGAUUCCAUUAUUUUGAAUUUCUGAUUAGUCUCUCCAAAGGAGGCAAUCAGAUAGUCAUUCAUCUCAGUGACCAGAGGGGUGACUUUGAAUAGAAUCGGAGGCAGUUAGGCCCUAAGCAGGUCCCAGCUUGACUUUUCCCUUUAGCUUAGUGAGUGGAGGGCCUCAAAAUUUAUUUGUCUUUCACAAGUAGCAUAAAAAGUACUUAGGAGUAAAUUUAACAAAGAAAAUGAAAGAUCUGUACAAUGAAAAGUAUAAAAUAUUGAUGAAAGAAAUUGAAGAAAACGUAAAUGAAUGGAAAGAUAUUCCAUGUUCAUGGAAUGAAAUAAUUAAAAUGAUUCCCAUAAUAUCUAACAUGAUCUACACAUUCAGUAAUAUUUCUCUCAAAAUUCUAGUGCCAUUUUUUUCCCACAGGAAUAGAAAAAAAUUCUAAAAUUAGUUUGAAACUUGAAAAGAUUCUGAAUAGCUAAAGAAAUCUUGAGCUAAAAGAACAAAGCUAGAGGCAUCACACUUUCUUAUUUCAAAAUAUAAUAUAAGGCAUUCAAAACAGCAUUGCACUGGCAUAAACGCAAACUAAUGGAAGAGACACAGACCAAUGGAAAAGAAAGUAUCCCAGAAAUAAACUUAAUGAUUCACAGUCAAUUAAUUUUUAUUAAAGGUUUCAAAAACACACAAUGGGGAAAUAGCAGUCUUUUCAAUAAAUAGUGUUGUGAAAACAUGAUACUCACAUGAAUAAAAAUAAAACUGGACCCUUAUUUCACGACAUAUAGAAAAUUAAACUUAAAAUGGAUAAUAUAUUUAUAUUUAAGACCUCAAAUUGUAAAACUACAAGAAGGAAACACAAAGAAAAUUCCAUGACAUUGGUCUUAAAAAUUAUUUCUUGGAUAGGGUUCUAAAAGCAAAGGCAACAAAAGCAAAAACAGACAAAUGAGAUUACAUCAUAAUAAAAAGAUGCUUCUGCACAGCAAAGGAAACCAGAGACUGAAGAAACAAACCAAGUAUUGAAAGUAUUUGUAAACCAUACAUCUGAUAAGGGACUAAUAUUUAAACUAUGUAAGUUGCUCAAACAAGUCAGCAUCAGGAAAUCAAAUAACUCAACUAAAAGAUGGACAGAAGAUCUUAACAGGCAUUUUUCGAAAUAAGCAAUAUGAAGGGACAAAAAUAUGAUAAAAUGCUUAAAGUUCUCUACUUAUCAGGGAAAUACAAAUUAAAACCACAUUGAGAUAUGACUUUACACCCUUUAGAAUGGCUAUUAUGAAAAAGAUGAAUGGUAACAUAUAUUGGUGAGGAUGUAAACAAAAGGGAACACUUGUAUACUAUUAGUAAGAAUGUAAAUUAGUACAGCCAUUUUGGAAGAUCGUAUAGAGUUUGCUCAAAAACUAAAAGUAGAAUUACCAUAUGAUUCAGCAGAUUCUACUUCUAGGUACAUAUCCAAAGGAAUUAAAACAGGUAUAUUGAAGAGACAGCUAUGCUCUCAUAUUCAUUUCAGCAUUAUUCACAAUAGGUAAGAUAUGGAAGCAAUGUAAGUGUCCAUUAACAAGUGAAUAGAUGAAGAAAAAGAUGGUACAUAUGCAUGAUGGAAAUCUAUACAACCUUAAACAAUAAGGAUAGUCUGUCAUUCAGAAAACAUAGAUUAAACUUGAGAACAUUAUGCUAAGUGAAAUAAGCCAAGCACAAAAAGAUGAGUAUGGUCUGUAUGACCUUAUUUAUGUGAUCUGAUUUAUAUGGCAAAUCUAAAAACAGAGGAACUCAGAAAAGCAGAGAGUAGAAAGGUAACUACCAGAGGCUUGGGAUGAGGUGGGGAAAAGGAUAAAGAAAGGGAAGAUACUGAUCGAAGUUAACAAUAAUGAAUUUUAUAAUUCAGAAUUGCUGAAAGAACAGAUUCUUAACAUUACCAAAAAAUUUGAUAAAUUGGUAUGGUGAUGAAUACAUUAAUUAUCUUGAUUGUAUCUUCCAAUAUUAUAUGAAACAUUACAUCAUAACAUCACAUAAAUAUACACAUUAUAUUCCAUAAAUAUGCACAUUUAUUAUCUGUCAAAGUAUGAAUAGACAAGGAAUGUUUUACAAAGCAAUAAAUACAAAUAUAUAUGACUAAAAGGGUCUAAAUUUAUUUACAUAUGUGAAACUCAUAUGAAUAAAUGAGAAAACUAGUCUCAAUAAAUAUAUAGAAAAAAGACAGACUACAUAAGAGUAAAUGCAAAUUAAAAAACUAGAAAAUAUUAACUUUGUUUAUAACCAGAAAACCCAAAAGAUAAAAUCAGUGAAUUCAUUUUUCUGAGGUCUAUCAAACAGUCAAAAUUGUGUGUUUUUAAGUAAGCUUAAUGAGCACUGGACAAUAAGGACAUAGCACAAUGAGCAUUGUCAUCUACUGUUACAAAUCGGUUUGAUGUGGAGCUGAAAAGCUAUUAUAAAAUUGUAUGCCCAUACAGGGGAAGACUACUCAAGGAUGUUCAUAUUAGCGUUAUUUAUAAAAGCUGAAAAUUAGGUUCAAAUACAUUCUGGAAAAGGGGAAAAACUGUGAGAAUCAUGUUAUAUCCACUUAGUGAAAAGGUAUAUAUUAAUUAAAAACAUUAUUUAUGAGUUUUUAAUAAUAUAGGGUAAAUGCUUAGGUCAGCUUAGGCAUUCUGCUGAAUGCUUAUGCUCUGGUUUAGAAAUUCCUGUUAUAGAUAAAAGGUUUCUAUUAUUAAAUCAUUUUGAGAAACUGCAUUAAUUGCACAAACAUACACAUACCACACACAACACACACACACACACACAACACAUAUACACAAACACAGAAUGUUUCUUUUCUGGAAGGUUUCUCAAAGCCCCUUAUAUACAAUGCAUUUUAUCAUUUUAUUAACAAAACUCACUGGCAUAAAUAGCAAUAAACUUGUAUUUUGGAAGAAAAUGACAUCAUAGGAAAUAAACAGAAAACUUAAAGUCAGAAUAAUUAUCAUUUAGGUGUGUUUAGCAGUUUACAAAGGAUUUUUUCUGAAACAGAUGCAAAUUUUUCGUGUAUUUACAUGAACUUUAUAAGUACUAAUACAUUUGUACUUUUUAUAUUUAACUGUUUUAGUGAGGGUUCUUACGUUAGACCCCUCAGAUUGCCCAGAUUUAAAUCUCUGCUAAGAGACUAAUCAUCUGUGUUCCUUUGCCUCGUUACUUUUUUCUGAAAUUAAAUUUUCUUAUUUCUAAAUUGAGAAUUGUAAUAUAAUGCCGGUCCUAUUUUUUAUUGUGUUUUAAAAAUUAAAUGAAGACUAAAGAUUUUAGCAGGAAGUAAAUAAUUUGUGUUAGCAAUUAUUAUUAUUAUCUCCAAUUACUAAUUCAACACAGAAUUGAAGGUUUUAAAGGAAUUG